ensembl:processed_transcript
UAACUGGAAGUAGAGUGGUGAGUUCGUUCUUGUGAAUAAGCGCGGUGUAGUUUUUGAUGUACUCAGCGUUGACAUCGCAGGAUUUACGUUUUCCUGUUGAUUUAGGAACAGGGCUGGAAAUCUUAAAGAGAGGCGACAAGACUGACUCCAGAAGCACAGGUCCGGGAACUGACAGAGACUCGCAGUCUAAAGCAGAUUGCCCUGUCGUGAAGAAACCCCUUCGGAAGACCCGAAGCAACGGUCUUCCUGCAGAGAGCAGAAAAUGGCUCAUGACCAGCCUCUGCUGGUUGUGCAGGAGGCCCUGAGGAAGUGCUUCCCUGUGGUGGAGGAACAGCAGGACCUGUGGCAGAGCACCCUGCAGGACUGCUCGCCCCUCCUGUCCUCUCUCAGUAACCUGGCUGAGCAGCUGCAAGCUGCACAGAGUCUGCGCUUUGAGGAUGUGCCAGCCCUGCGUCCCUUUCCAGACUUACAGGAGCGGUUGAGGCGCAAGCAGCUGGAGGCUGGUGACGUUGUCCUGGACAAGCUAGCUGAGAGGCUAGCCAUCCUCCUCAAGGUCCGUAACACCAUCAGCAGCCAUGUGGAGCAGGUAUUUCAGGCCUACGAGCAGCAUGCGGCUGUGCUAGACAUUGACACCGUCCUGCGCCCCUCAGUUGUGAGCCCCUCUGUGGCUGACAUGUUGGAGUGGCUGCAGGACAUCGACAGACAUUACGGAAGCUCGUACCUGAAGAGAAAGUACCUCCUCUCCUCCAUCCACUGGGGAGACUUGGCCAGCAUCCAAGCACUGCCCAAGGCCUGGGACCAGAUUUCAGAAAAUGAGUGCCAAACUCUUGUGUCAGAUGUCCUGGUGAGUGUCUCCUUCUUCCUGGAGGAGCCAGGAGGCUGUGCAGCGUCUGGAGAUCUGGAGCACCGCAGCUGAGGGCUGCCAUUGCUACACUAGGCUAUUUCUAAGUGAGGGUCAGCAUUGCUACCUGACUCACUGGAAUAGCAGUGCCUAGGACUUCUCCGUGCUAGGCCAUGGCCAAGGGUCCAUGGCAGCUGCACCUGACUCUGAGAAGCAGAUAGAGGCGGAGGAGACAGGAAAGGCAGUGCUGAUAAACAGUGUCCACCAAGGCAGGGAAGGGCAGAAUGCAAGGUUGUGUGGCCACCGCUGCCUAUGUCAUCUGAACCAUAGUCUCUGGUUGGCUCAGGUCCUGAUUCUGUGUGUGUGUCAGUAUCUGAGUCCUUAAUGGCUUAAAGAUAGGAGUGGGUCUGGGAGUCCAGGGCGGGAGCUGUGUGUGUGUGAAAGUCGGGGGACAAAGUCAAUCACCUGCAAAACCCCAAAAAGGAAAGGAUUGAAGAAAAGGGAACAUUUAAAAUGUUUACCCCUUCACCGAAGCUCAUUAUGAAUCCAGUUUCCAUUUCCAAAGUCAGCCACCAGGGGGCGAUGGUGCAGCGUGAGCGGUUCUGAAUGCCUUGUUCUUAAGGGAGGUCCCCCUAUUGCUGUUAAAAGCCACUGAGGUGUCUGUGGGGAGCUGGGUAUCCCACCCAGGACUAGGGAGUCAAAGACAGGUGGGUCUCUGUGAUUUUGAGAUCACCUUGGUCUCUAUAGCUCCAGGUCAACCAAGGCCACAUACUGAAACUGUCUCAAAAAGGAAGACAAAAAGUUAAAGGGACCUCGCAUUGGCCACGGUCUUCUGAGUUUGGGGUAACCAGCCAGGGGAGGGAAUGCCGGCUGUGAUGGUUGGUUUUUAUGGUCCACUUGACACGCAAAGCCACCUCGGAAGGGAGUCUCAGUGAGGAAUGUUCUAGAUUUGGUUGGCUUGCAGACAUGCAAGAUUUUCUUAACUGAGGUGAGAAGACCCAUCCUGAAUGUGAGUGACAGCAUUUCAUGGGCUGGAGCCAGGAUCAAAGGAGAAAGAGCAGGCUGAGCAGGCAUUCACCUUUGAUGGUGAGUAUCCUGUGACCAGCUGCUUCAGGUUCCUGCCACUGACUCUCCUGUAGUAAUGGAUUCUAACUUCAAAUUAUAAGCCUAAUGUCUGCCAAUAGGUGUUAUCAUGCUUUAGGGUUCUCUAAAGGAACAGGACUAGUGAUAGCAUGAAUGAAUAUAAAGAGAGAGUACUGAGAGCAGCAAGAGUGAGGGCCUGCGUACCUAAAGCAAAAGCUUUCUUCUUCCAUAUGAUGAUAUGUGGACUCCCACCACAGGGUGUGGCCCAGAUUUGGGGUGGGUCCUCCUACCCCCGAAUGAUCCAGAUUUAGAGUGGUUCUUCCCACCUCAAAUGAUCCAAUCAAAAAAAACCCUCACAGGCCUGCCUAGUUGCUUGAGUCUUAGUUGAUUCCAGAUGUCAAGUUGACAGCAAAGAUUAGCUAUCACAUGCAGUGCCAGGAAAGAGACUGAGAGGCAGCCUGGAGUGGUGCCGACCCUUGCCUUCUGUGCGGCAGCCACUGCUCGGGGGUCUCAGCUUCCCAUGUGCUCUACAAGUCAGGGCUGCCGUGUACAGGGCGUAGUGCAGAGAAUGGGUUUAUUUUAGCUUUUGAUUUUACAAGACUGGGUUUCUCUGUGUAGCCCUGGCUGUCCUGGAACUCACUCUAAACCAGGCUGAUCUCAAAGAUCCACCUGCCUCUGCCUCCUGAGUACUAGGAUCAAAGGCAUGCACCACCACCACCCACCCAGCUAAGGAUGGAGACUUUUAAAAAGAAAGUGGCUUUGUUUUCUUACUAUAUUUUUUGUUUUCAAUUAAAGAAAAAAUUUAAAUACAGAAAAGUAUAAUGUAAAACCCACCCUAAUAUUUUGAUCUGUAUCCCUUUACUGUUCUUCACAAAUUUCAAAACAAAGACAUUGACACAAACUCAUUGUUUCUAAAUUUGUGGAUAGUUGGACAUCUGUAAAUAAGUCAAUAAAACUGUACUAUAUAGGCUA